rnacentral:rRNA from 1 species
CUAACGGGACUGCCCGCGAAAGCGGGAGGAAGGAGGGGACGACGUCUGGUCAGCAUGGCCCUUACGGCCUGGGCGACACACGUGCUACAAUGCCCACUACAAAGCGAUGCCACCCGGCAACGGGGAGCUAAUCGCAAAAAGGUGGGCCCAGUUCGGAUUGGGGUCUGCAACCCGACCCCAUGAAGCCGGAAUCGCUAGUAAUCGCGGAUCAGCCAUGCCGCGGUGAAUACGUUCCCGGGCCUU